rnacentral:rRNA from 1 species
UAGGGAAUCUUCCACAAUGGACGCAAGUCUGAUGGAGCAACGCCGCGUGAGUGAAGAAGGCUUUCGGGUCGUAAAACUCUGUUAUUGAAGAAGAACGUGUGUGACAGUAACUGGUCAUGCAGUGACGGUAUUCAAUCAGAAAGUCACGGCUAACUACGUGCCAGCAGCCGCGGUAAUACGUAGGUGGCAAGCGUUGUCCGGAUUUAUUGGGCGUAAAGCGAGUGCAGGCGGUCUUUUAAGUCUGAUGUGAAAGCCUUCGGCUUAACCGAAGAAGGGCAUCGGAAACUGGGAGACUUGAGUGCAGAAGAGGAGAGUGGAACUCCAUGUGUAGCGGUGAAAUGCGUAGAUAUAUGGAAGAACACCAGUGGCGAAGGCGGCUCUCUGGUCUGUAACUGACGCUGAGGCUCGAAAGCGUGGGUAGCAAAAC